CCGAAUAUAGCUCAGCGGUAGAGCGGGAGACUGUAGUACGUUGUAGAUAUCUCUAGGUCCCUGGUUCAAAUCCGGGUGUUCGGA
rnacentral:tRNA from 1 species